rnacentral:lncRNA from 1 species
AUAUACAAAAAUGUAUCAUUUAAAAAUAAAAAAUUAUAGGGCAGAUGAAUACAAAGUCAAGUUAUUCAAUGUUUUUGAGACAUUUAAGUUCAUACUAUACAUUUGUACUUCUAUCUGUAGGAUAUUUCAUUUGAUUUAUCUCAUAUUGCAUAAACGUUAAAUCUUAGAACUGUUGGAUAAUUGAUUUGCUGUUCUGCAUGCUUAAAAAUUAAGUGGAUUGCAAUCUUUCAACUUUCACAGAAUUCAGUGAGAUUGACCAUUUAUAUACCUGUUACUUGCAGAUAACUAGCUCAUCCAAGUAGAGGGCAAUAUGUUUUUUUUUAUCUAUAUGUACAAUUAGGUUAUGUGUAUGUAAUACAAAAAAUAAUAAUAUGUAUAAUAUGACACUUUUAAACACCAAAAAGAAAAAAAAGAUAUUACUAUAAAACUCAUUUCUUUUGGCACAAACAUCUACUGGUUUUUGAAAAUUUUUCCAAGCUGCAGAUUGAAAAGCUUACAGAUAUAAAAUAUCAUUCAUUUUUUUCUCAGGUGAUAGAAAUCUUUAAAAAUUCUUUCAUAUCAAGUCAGUAGACAGACAAUAUUUGUUGAUUCUAAAUCACUUACCUUAUAAACUAUUAUUUAUCUUAUCUUAUCUUCACCAUAUCUUCACAGUGUAUAACAAUAUGUCUCAUGUUCAAAUGCAUACACAAAAAAAAACAUUUUCUUUUUCAGUUCGAGACAGUAUCUUACCUCCAGCAAAAAAAUGAUAAAGAAAGUAUUUGUUUAAUAUAUUAUUGCUAUCAUCAUAUAGAAGAUAAAAAAAACAAUUGCAACAAUUUGAACCCUACUUUACCUCGAUCAGACACAUAAUUGGUAUUUUAAUAUGUCUCUGGUAGAAUGAACAAAAGUGUAGCUGUGAAUAACUAUGUUUUGAUUGGUUAUUUGAAUAAUUCCCUUUUCUAUAUGUAAAAAGAGUGUUGAAAAACCAUUUCAAGAAAUGUAUUUAGCAAAACAAGAAAUGCAACUUUUCCUUCAAUAGUUUUCAAGAGAAUAAAAAAACCAACAAAAAAAGACUUGUGCAUUUAAUCAAAUUUCAAUAUUCAAUUUGCCAUAAGAUCCUUAACAUUUUAGAUUUAUCAUUAUCUCUAUAACAUACUUGUAUAUCAACAGUUGUAAUAAUGAACUAUAAGAAUAAGAACACAUAAAGUAAUUAAAAUGCCUAAAAGUCGUCAAUGUAUUUUGAUUAGAAUUUCUACUCUGGAUAAAAAAUAUGGUUGUUAUUGUAGUUUUUUGAUACACAAUUUUGAGUAUGAAAAUACUAGCAAUGUUUGAAGAAAAACUUGAGAUGAAAAUAAAAAUGGAU